AUAAACAAAAGAAAACAUUUUUUUUUAGUUGAAAUUGUUUAUAUGAACAGGUAAUGGGACAUUUUGCACGUAUCCACAUACUGAGGAGGCAGUGACCCAAUGAUAUUAUGUGAUUAACAUCAGUGCAGAUCAUAUGCUUGUAAUGACGUGUUUCCACGCUGUGGUAUUGUUACUGAUUUAAAUCAUCCGCCUGGCCCUCUGCCAGCGAGCCACAGUUUUACUGAAUGCACCUUUGUUCGUCUCGCUGAUCUCGUUCAGGUUUUCUGGUCGUGCCAAAAUGAGGCCCUGUGAUGGAUGCCAUCUUGGAAGCAUCACAGAUCAGCACAUACCAGAGACUGGAGCGACCAGCUGCUCUAGUUUCACAGAGCGCCUCAUCAGUGCAGACUUCAGCCAUCACCACAAACCUACAAAUGAUGACCUGCAGAUGGAUGCGGUGGAGUUUUCCACGAUUCUUUAUCUGCUGAUGAAUCACAACCUAGACCUGAUAAACUUUAACUUGGAGAAUAAAAUCGUCAAAAAUGCUUGCGUGAGAACCAACAGUAAAGGACUGGACGUAAAAUUCUAGACUCCACCCUCAGCAUUAAAGUCAUGACAUUAUCAGCUGGAGAAUAGUCACGAAUCCUAGAAAGGUGUUCCCUCGAUGGAAAACCUUGGAUCCAAAAUGAAGUUAUUGGACCACAAUUCUUCCAACUAACCUGCCUUGAAGUCAUGUUAAUGAUUCAAAGCUCUUCAAACUUUGAAGAUCAUUAUUUAAAUCACGUCAGAAAGUGAGGACUGCUGUUGAACCUUAUUUUCCAAGGUGCCUUCAGAGCAGAUGGAUUGAUUUAGCACAGCUUUUAUGCUGGACCACAACCCAAACUCAGCUGAAACAGUUCAAAUUUAACUGUGGGAUUCUCUCUUCUGCAUAUGUCUUUAGGUGUAAGUCAUUGCUACACCUUACAGUACGAAUGGCAUCCCGGUGUGUUAUGUAGCAUUGUAUAGUCUCAACAUUAAAGCCUUUUAAGGGUCUGUACAGAUACAACUGGAAUCAAGUGUAGGUAACUUCUAGUUUGCUAAAGCCCCCAUGUUAACAAUUUGUAUUGUAGUUAUGACUUCUGUCACAUAUGUAAAGAGCAACAGAGAGAGUGUGUGCCGGUGAAAAUCUGGGACAUCUCUUCCCCGAAAAGCACCAGCUGUGCUUGUAGUCGACUGGUUUUGUCUUCACUUUACACUUUUGCUCAUGUUAACAGAUUCCACAAACAUUUAAACAAACCUGGGGGGCGGGGGUGGGUUAUUUCCAUUAACAGCCGGCUGCUGUUGGUUUUCUCAAAAACAAGGGACUUUGUUGGGGAUGACUUUCAGUGGUCGAAUAAUCCGCAUUUUUUGCCAGAGAAAAACCUGUUUUUGUUUAUACUUCAUUUGGAAUUAAUUUCCAAUAAGAAAAAUGUUUCCUUCCAUAUUUUUACCUUUUUGUUUCACUGAUGUGAUUAUUUUUCUUCAUUAAGUUGUUUUUCCAGUGAAAAAUAUCCAUUAACUUAUACACACACACGAUACCGGUGUUUGCUUACCACAGGAGUGCACAAAGCAAGUUUGGCAUAGCCAGUGUGAUAGGUGGCUCAAAAUAAGCUAAAACCGUUUAGUUCUAAAAUGUAAAAAGUUGAACUAAUAGACGCUUUCAGCUGCUCCUCUAUUUCCACAGAAGUCCCAAAACAGAUGGAUCCACAUCACUUGGCACAGAAUUUAUGAUGCAACCUCCCAUUUGUCUGAGCUUAAAGUCCACAAACCUGGCCUAAUGUUUCAUUCACUAUGACCUGAAAUUAGCAAAUCAGCCCACGAACUCACCAGGAAACAAUUUAAAGAGGUCCAGGCAGACAGAUAUUUACACAGGAGCUUAAAUCUUUUUUGUAACCAUAACUAUCGCCCCCUGGUGGCCAGCGAGAAAAAAUAUAUAGGUUCAGGGCACUUUGUAUUGGCUUCACCUUUCAGACCUGGAGUUUGAAAAGAGACUAAAGAGGACAUUUGAAACACCAGCUGAGUCUCCAUCAGCACAUAAAGAAACUAUUGAUUGCCCCCACUUCAGUCAGAGACGUCACAGAGAAGCAUGCAGUGAAAGGAAACACUGCAAAUACCUGAACUCUGUUACUCACAUCAAUUCAGGUGUUAAUCUAUUUGUUUUGUGAAAUUACAUACAAUUCCUUAUGAUCUUGGGGGAUAAAAAUCCUACAAGUAAUAUUUUUUUCUCAUUUGUGCUCUGUUAGCUGAAAUUCCAGCAAUAAACACAUUUAGCAGCUAAUCAGCAGUAAUGAAAAGAUGAAAGUGUUGCACUCGACAUUAAUGUGGCCUUGUGGCACACCCGUCUGCUGCCACCAUCUUUACAUCAUCAAACACUUCAAAACUAAUGCUGGGCACAAAAUUUCAACUGUGGAAAUCUAACGUGCAGAUUUUCUAUCUGGAAAAGUAUCGACUGAACUGAAGAAAUUAUCGACGGUGGGACUGAGUAUGUGUGCUGUGCAUCACAAUGUUUUGUUCAAUUUUGUUAACACCAGUGAGGUUUUUCUUGUGGUAGUGUUUUUUUAAAAACAUUUUUUUUUAACUCUUUCUCUCAUUAAGUUGAAAUUUGUCAUUUUUUUAAACCUGAGUAAGCUAUGAGAGCAGUUGUAUGAGCUGUAGUUUAUGUUUUCUGUUAUUCAACUGAAUGAAACAGCAUAAAGAGUUUUUGAAUAAAGUGAGACAUGUUUUCAACAGGCAGCAGGGGCAGCACGGUGGCACGGUGGUUAGCACUGUUGCCGCACAGCAAGAAGGUCCUGAGUUCAAUUCCUCCAUCAG